UGGGGAAUAUUGCACAAUGGGCGAAAGCCUGAUGCAGCGACGCCGCGUGCGGGAUGAAGGCCUUCGGGUUGUAAACCGCUUUUGAUUGGGAGCAAGCGAGAGUGAGUGUACCUUUCGAAUAAGCACCGGCUAACUACGUGCCAGCAGCCGCGGUAAUACGUAGGGUGCAAGCGUUAUCCGGAAUUAUUGGGCGUAAAGAGCUCGUAGGCGGUUUGUCGCGUCUGGUGUGAAAGUCCAUCGCUUAACGGUGGAUCUGCGCCGGGUACGGGCAGGCUAGAGUGCGACAGGGGAGACUGGAAUUCCCGGUGUAACGGUGGAAUGUGUAGAUAUCGGGAAGAACACCAAUGGCGAAGGCAGGUCUCUGGGUCGUCACUGACGCUGAGGAGCGAAAGCGUGGGGAGCGAACAGGAUUAG
rnacentral:rRNA from 1 species